rnacentral:rRNA from 1 species
GACGAACGCUGGCGGCGGGCCUAAUACAUGCAAGUCGAACGAGUGGCGGACGGGUGAGUAAUGUCUGGGAAACUGCCCGAUGGAGGGGGAUAACUACUGGAAACGGUAGCUAAUACCGCAUACCAGCGGAUGCGCCCAUAUGGGAUUAGCUAGUAGGUGGGGUAACGGCUUACCUAGGCGACGAUCCCUAGCUGGUCUGAGAGGAUGACCAGCCACCCUGGGACUGAGACACGGUCCAGACUCCUACGGGAGGCAGCAGUGGGGAAUAUUGCACAAUGGGCGCAAGCCUUAUUCAGCCAUGCCGCGUGUAUGAAGAAGGCCUUCGGGUUGUAAAGUACUUUCAGCGAGGAGGCGUUACUCGCAGAAGAAGCACCGGCUAACUCCGUGCCAGCAGCCGCGGUAAUAC